rnacentral:misc_RNA from 1 species
GUUUACAAGUGCAUUUAAGAAAAUAAGAAUAAAUUUCAAGUCUAUAAGUUAAUCAAAAAUUUGAAUCAGUCAAUUACUCGGUGCAUUUCCCUCCCAGCCUAUGCCAAGGGUGAAAUACCCCUCACUGCCUAAACUUGCAGUUCAGCUUUGCCAUUACAUGUUGUAUAUACAAGUAGCUAACAAACUCCGCAACUGAAAGCAAUCCAGUUCUUCCGAGUUCAGAUGCUGUCCCUUUAACGGUUGUUUCCGUCAGCAGGAGAUAAAUAUAAUGCAAUGUUCUAAUGUCGGUUCAUGUUAACAGUUAGCAGUCACUCUAAGAGUCUGGAUUGACUGCUACCACUCUGCUAGAAAAACACCUGUCCAUUGGUGCAAGUCCGGACAACUUCAAAAGUAGGUAGCAUCAAAUGUGCUCCAUAACCCACUUAUAAAUGGAAUCAUUAGCUUGUUUACACUUAAUACACAGCUUACUGUUGUAAAUUAAUGUGAACUCUCGUGAAGCAAUCUCUUUAUAUGCUUCGCCCAAGUCAAAUAUUAGCCAGAUGGCUU